rnacentral:lncRNA from 1 species
ACUUGACGCUGCAGGGCGGGCGGGGUAAAGAAGGGAGCGAGCCCUUCUCAAGCUUGGAAAGUUUCCAGACUGCUGGGCCAGCCUCCUCCCCAGAGGGAAACUGAGGUCCGAUUGAGGUUUCUCCAAGACCGCCCACUCCUGCUCCUGUCCCCAAACCCCUUUCUGCCUAGGGUUCCUGGAAGCCAAGGAAACAGAACGAACUGUUCCCUGGGUGGGCGAGCCACUGCAGAGUACAAAGCUUUCAGGCCGCCUGCCUCAUUAGCACUAAUGGCUGCUCCCUUCCGCCCUGUGUCGUCAGGACUGUCUAUGCCUGGUCUCAUCAGCACAAGGCUGGGGUAAGGACUGCCCUUUUGUGGAGAUGGCAGGACAUACAGGACCCUGCUGCCCCUGCCUUCCCUCACCCCACUGCAGAGCUGUUUAUCACACACGUGUCCAUCUGGGAAAGGAAUGCAGGCUGAAUCAGCUUUGAGAGGAUCGCAAGGCCCCAGUGCACAAACUGGGUUGGCACAAGGCAGUGGAAAAAAGAUGAAGGGGGCCAGGUAUGGUGGCUCACACCUGUAAUUCCAGCAUUUUGAGAGGCCAAGGUGGGAGGAUCACAAGGCCAGGGGUUUAAGACCAGCCUGGGUAUCAUGGUGAGACCCCGUUGCUACAAAAAAUAAAAAAAUAGCUGGGUGUAGUGGUGCAUGCCUGUAGUAGAGGCUGAGGUGGGAGGAUGGCUUGAGCACAGGGAUUCAAGAGUGCAGUGAGCUAUGACUGCAUCACCACACUCCAGGCUGAGCGACAGAGCAAGAUCCUGUCUCAAAAAGAAAAGAAGAUAAAGGGUGGCCAGGCACGGUGGCUCACGCCUGUAAUCCCAGCAUUUUGGGAGGCCAAGGUGGGCGGAUCACUGGAGGUCAGGAGUUCAAACCAGCUUGGCCAAUAUGGUGAAACCCUAUCUCUACUAAAAAUACAAAAGUUAUUCAGGCAUGGUGGCACAUGCCUGUAAUCCCACCUACCCGGGAGGCUGAGGCAGGAGAAUCACUUGUAACACGGGAGGCAGAGACUGCAGUGAGCAGAGAUCGCACCACUGCACUCCAACCUGGGUGACAGAGUGAGACUCCAUCUUAAAAAAAAAAUGCUAUUUAAAAUGAAAUGAAGCAAUCCAUACUCCCAACAUUUAUAUAUACUGGGACAUCCAAGAAAUUAAAAUCACACCUCAUUAUGUCUUUUUCUUUGAGUCAGGGUCUCACUCUGUCACCCAGGCUGGGCCUGGUCAGCACCCAUGCUAUGGAGAGCUCUUCAUGGUCUGGUGUGGACAGAGUGGGAGUGGAAGAUCUCCUCCCACACAGGUGCUCAGUGUCUUACCUCACCUACGGGCAGCAGCUGUCUUCACCUGAGUGUGUGCACACAGGUGUAUCAGCCCCAUGGGCAGUGAUGGACGAGGGCUGAGGCACUCACAGGGCAGCCCAUGCCCCGGUCAGGUCCAGUGGGGGAGAUAUCAAGAAAACCCAGCGCCAAAAUGCAAUGAGCUGUGAUCGCGCUACUGCACUCCAGCCUGGGCGACAAAGCAAGUUGCCGUCUCAAAAAACAAAAACAAAACUAAACAAAAAAAAAAAAACGGCCAGGUGUAGUGAUUCACACCUUCUUGAGCCCAGGAGUGGCAACAUAGUGAGACUCUGUCUCUACCAAAAAAAAAAAAUUUAAUUAGCUGAAUGUGGUGAUGCACACCUGUAGUCCCAGCUACUCAGGAGACAGGGAGGAGGAUAGCUUCGGCCCAGGAGAUUGAGGCUGCAGUGAGCCAUGGUGGUGGUGGCUCACGCCUAUAAUCCCAGCACUUUGGGAGGCUGAGGCAGGCAGAUCACUUGAGCCUAGGAAUUCGAGGCCAGCCUGGGCAACAUGGCGAAACCCAGUCCCCAUUAAAAAAAAAAAAAAAAAAGGCCAGGUGCGGUGGCUCACGCCUGUAAUCCCAGCACUUUGGGAGGCCGAGGUGGGCAGAUCACAAGGUCAGGAGAUGGAGACUAUCCUGCCUAGCACAGCAAAACCCCAUCUCUACUAAAAAUACAAAAAAAAAAAAAAUUUAGCCGGGCGUCAUAGCGGGCACCUGUAAUCACAGCUACUUGGGAGGCUGAGGCAGGAGAAUGGUGUGAACCCAGGAGGCAGAGCUUGCGGUGAGCCGAGAUCGCGCCACUGCACUCCAGCCUGGGUGACUGAGCGAGACUCUCUCAAAAAAAAAAAAAAAAGUUUCACAGCCGGAUGCAGUGGCUCACGCCUGUAAUCCCAGCAUUUUGGGAGGCCAAGGUGGGCAGAUCAUGAGGUCAGGAGUUCAAGACCAGCCUGGCCAACAUGGUGAAGCCCCAUCUCUACUAAAAAUACAAAAAUUAGCUGGGCAUGGUGGCACGCACCUAUGAUCCUAGAUACUUGGGAGGCUGAGGCAGGAGAUUUACUUGAACUGGGACCCAGGAGGCGGAGGUUGCAGUUAGCUGAGAUCGUGCCACUGCACUCCAGCCUGGUAACACUCCAGCCUGGUAACAGAGUGAGACUCCAUCUCAAAAAAAAAAAAGUUUCACUAUGUGGGUAAUUUUACGGUAAGGAACCAGCCUGAUAUUCCCAGGACAAUGCUUGUUGGCAAAAGGACCUUCAGAAAUAUGUGGCAUGUUCUGGGAGGAGGAUUUGGGAAACCCUGGGGGAGGCAGAGCCUCCUAAGUGAGGGUGUGGGCCCGGAACACAGGGACUCUGUGCAGGGAGGAGAAAGGGGAGAGUGUGCAUGCUCGUUCCAGAGACCACAUGAGGACAGAGAGGGGUGCUCAAACCCUCUCCCUUCUCUUCUUUUUCCUCCUGCAGUGUACUCCCCUUCAAGGGCCCUGUUCCCACCUUGUCCAGGGGAGAGGGUGGGGGGUGCAGGGAAAAACUGCAAGCACCCGUGGCUCUGUCAAUCAGGGUUGAUUUUGAAACCCCUACCCAGCCCAUUGCCCCUGCCCCAGAGAGCACAGCCAUGUGUUUCCUGUGAAUCAUCUGUAGGAUUUCCUAAGGCAGAGGUUGCCUGGAGAGGCACGGUCUCCUCAGUCAUUCAGGGAGAGGAGAAGAUGGAUGGGGGUUCUCUCGGGCUGGUGUAUUGAGCCCUGAGCUAGAGAGGAUCUGUGAUUGUUAAUUUUGUGUGUCAACUUGACUGGGCCAGGAAUGCCCAGAUAUCUGGUUAAAUAUUAUUUCUAGGUGUGCCUGUGAGGGUGUUUCCAGAAUCAUCCAAUCCUUUGAGGGUUGGAAUAAAACAAAAAGAUAGAGAAAGUUGGUGCCGUGGCUCAUGCCUGUAAUCCCACCACUUUGGGAAGCCGAGGUGGGAGACUGUCUUGAGCCCAGGAGUUUGAGACCAGCCUGGGUAACAUACAGAGACCCAAUCUCUACAAAAAAAUUUAAAAAUAGCCAGACACAGUGGUGCACAUCAGUGGUCCCAGUGACUCCAGAGGCUGAGGUGGGGAGGAUCGCUUGAUCCCAGGAGGUUAAAGCUGUAGUGAGCCAUGAUCACACUACUGCAUUCCAGCUUAUGCACAUGAGACCUUGUCUUAAAAAAAUAAAAAAUUUUAAAAAAGAAAGAAAACUGGAAACAAUCCAAAUAUCCAUCAACAGCAAAAUGGAUAAUAACAUUAUAGUGAUAUAAUUGGGCCAGGCACAGUGGCUCACACCUGUAAUCCUGGCACUUUGGAAGGCCGAGACGAGUGGAUCACUUGAGCUCAGGAGUUCCAGACCAGCCUGAGCAACAUGACAAAACCCUGUCUCUUCAAAAAUUACAAAAAUUAGCUAGACAUGGUGGCGCAAGCCUGUAGUCCCAGCUUCUCGAGAGGCUGAGGUGGGAGGAUCACUUGAAUCCAGGAGGCAGAGGUUGCAGUGAACCAAGAUUGCACCACUGCACUCCAGCAUGGGUGACAGAGUGAGACCCUAUCUCAAACAAACAAACAAAAGUAUGUUUAUAUAAUUGACAACUAUACAGCAAUGACAAGAGAAUAAACUACUGCUACACACUGCAACAUGAAUGAAUUGCACAGACAUAAGGUUGAAUGAAAGAAGCAUGCUGCAGAAGAGUGAGGAUGGAAUGAAUCCAGCCCUAUGACAUUCAGACCCAAGCAAAAUUAUAAUAAAUGGUGAUAAAACACAACAGCGGUUAACUCUGGGAGGGUGGGAAAUUAUUGACUGAGGGGGGAAAUGAGGAAAACAUGUGAGGUGUUGGAAAGGUUUUGUAUCUUGAUCUCAGUGGUGGUCACGCAGGUAUAUAAGUAUGUAAAAUUUCAUCAAGCUGCACAUUUAAGACUUGUGUAUUUUGCCAAGUGCAGUGGCUCACACCUGUAAUCCCAGCACUUUGGGAGGCCAAAGUGGGCAGAUCACCUGAGAUCAGGAGUUCGAGACCAGCCUGGCCAAUAUGGCAAAACCUCGUCUCCACUAAAAAUAAAAAAUUAGCCAGAUGUGGUGGUGUGUGCCUGUAGUCCCAGCUACUCAGGAGGUUCAGGCAGGAGAAUCACUUGAACCCAGGAGGCGGAGGUUGCAGUCAGCCAAGAUUGUGCCACUGCACUCCAGCCUGGGUGACAGAGUAAGACUCCAUCUCAAAAUAUAUAUAUAUAUUGUAUUUUUUAUUGGAUAUUAUGUCUCAAUGAAAACAUUUUUUCUUUUCCUUUAUUAGUGGCUCAAAAAAUAAUGGAGUGUCUGGCUGGACGCUGUGGCUCCCGCCUGUAAUCCCAGCACUUUGGGAGGCCGAGGCGGGUGGAUCACAAGGUCAGGUCAGGAGUUCGAGACCAGCCUGACCAACAUGGUGAAACUCCAUCUCUACUAAAAAUACAAAAAUUAGCCAGGCACGGUGGCACGUGCCUGUAAUUCCAGCUACUCAGGAGGCUGAGGCAGGAGAAUUGCUUGAACCCUGGAGGCGGAGGGUUGCGGUGAGCCGAGAUUGCAUCACUGCACUCCAGCCUGGGUGACAGAGCGAGACUCCGUCUCAAAAAAAAAAAAGAAAAAGAAAGAAAGAAACUUCCCUCAUCUCUGUAGCUAUUUGUGUAACUUCCCCUAUCUGUGUAACUACUGUUAACUGUGCAGCUGUGGGCAUGUCUUUAGGAAAGCAUAUGUAGCUUCUCUUGUCUCUGUAGUUGCAGGUAUGUUUUAGGUAAGUCUCCCCAUCCCCCUCCCUGUGCAAGUUCCCACAGAGCUCACCAUUUGCAUGCCUGAAAAGGGGAGGAAACAUUUUCCUGGGAGCCUGCUGAUUAUGCAAAGAACAAAGGCCUCUAUCCUGGGCCUUGCUCCCUUAUCUGUGCAGCUGCAGCUUGAUUUUUCCCCAGGCUGCUCUAUCUGUGCCUGUAGCUUUGAUUUUUCAAAAGAAUUUUACCAAGGACUAGCCAUAGCUGUCUGCCCAACUGCUUUAUUCCUUUUCUCCUCCCUCAGCAUCCUAUAGGAGAAAGUCACCUUUGUCUCCAAAUUCCCUGGUCCUGGUUUUGAAAAUCCUGCUGGCACCUACUGCUGAAGGCUGUGGCUGGAGAAUUCAGUGAGCUACUCUGAUCUGGACAGGGUCUGAUGGUCCUCACUUGACCUAAGCUGAGCUCUCCCAGGCUGUGAGCAUCCCCAAGGUCAGCCUGUGACUCUCACAGAAGUUCUGACCUCCAGAGCCUUCCCCCUGCUGUGGCCUUUGGGGUAGAGUAGGUUACAUGGGCCAGCACCAUCUGCCAAAGUCAGGGCCAGAAACCUAUCCAUGGGAGCCAGAUUUGGCUUUUGGCUUGGGCUAGUAUUGACUUUGGGCACAUUCUCAUCCCAGAAAGAAUAAUUUGGGGUAUGGGAUUUCAUGUUUUCUUUAGUACAGCCUUGAAAGCCACGUGUACAGGGUGUUUUCUUGCUAAGAUAGCAGUCGGGCUAUAUUUGAGCAGUCCAGAGAAGUUUAAACUACAGAGGCAUCUGGAUAUUGUCACAGUCUUGUCUGAGGUCAAUAGCUUGCAAGCGGUAGAGCUGAGAGUCAUACUGGGGAGUCUGACCCUGUAAUGACCCCCUGGUCACUAUGCUCAGAAAUAAUGACACCUGGAGUUGUAUUUUUCAGCACAGAUUGACUUUGAAUAAUAAAUACGUAAGAAUAUUUCUUCAAUUACACACACACACACACACACACACACACACACACACACACACACACAUACAUACACAAUUAUGCCAUUUCUCAUCUUCCCUGAAGCACAUGGCCCUUUGGCCUCUCUUUUAUUUUCAUACUUUUUUUUUUUUUUGAGAUGAAGUCUGGCUCUGUCGCCCAGGUGGAGUGCAGUGGCACAGUCUCAGCUCACUGCAACCCCUCCUGGGUUCAAGCAGUUCUCCUGCCUCAGCCUCCCAGGUAGCUGGGAUUACAGGCGUGUGUCACCACACCCAGCUAAUUUUUGUAUUUUUAGUGUAGACGGGGUUUCACCACGUUGGCCAGGCUGGUCUUGAACUUCAGGUGACUUCAGGUGAUCCACCUGCCUCGGCCUCUCAAAGUGGUAGGAUUACAGCCAUGAGCUACCAUGCCCGGCCUGUCAUACUUUUUUUCGGAAACAAAAGAUUAGUUCUGUAUUUCAACAUUAACAAUGACCACACUCUGACUCAAUAUUGGGGAAGUUUUGAAACCAACCCAAUAGUCCCAUAGACAGCUUUUUUGGAUAAACAUAGAAAUCAACCCUUCUGAUCCUAAAGCUUGAAACUUACAUUUGUUUUAUCUGAGUUCCCCUCUCAGGAAAGGAUCCCCAGUCCUCUCAAAAAGUAUCAAAGAACUGAAACCCACCAGAUCAUCCCAUCCAGACAAUGAGACUCAAGGGCCCUCAUUCAUCAUGAUUUGCUUCCUUACCCCUUGCAUUUGUUUUCCCACACACAAUUACAUUUCUUCCCUGCUAUAUAAACUCCUAAUUUUAGUCCAUCAGGGAGAUGGAUUUGAGACCGAUCUCCCGUCUUCUCACCUGCAUCACCCGAUUAAAGCCUUCUUCCUUGGCAAUAAUUGUCUCAGUGAUUGGCUUUCUGUGUGGUGAGCAGCAUGACCUAGACCAAACCUGUGGUAUUUUAAUAACAGUUUGAAGAGUGUGAGUUUGGCCUGAAGGGAGAAGCCAUUGAUGGCAGGCAGAGAUGUAGGCCCAGGUUUGCCAGAGCUUCAGACUUUUUUUUUUUUUUAAGAUGGAAUCUCGCUCUGUUGCCCAGGCUGGAGCACAAUGGCGUGAUCUUGGCUCACUGCAACCUCCACCUCCUGGGUUCAGGCAAUUCUCCUGCCUCAGUCUCCCGAGUAGCUGGGAUUACAGGCAUGUGCCACCACACCCAGCUAAGAGCUUCAGGUUUUUAAAGAAAAGAGAGAAAACAGAAGUUUUUUUUUUUUUUUUUGAGACGGAGUCUCACUCUGUCGCCCAGGCUGGAGUGCAGUGGUGCGAUCUCGGCUCACUGCAAGCUCUGUCUCCCAGGUUCACGCCAUUCUCCUGCCUCAGCCUCCCGAGUAGCUGUUCUACAGGCGCCCACCACCACACCCGGCUAAUUUUUUGAAUUUUUAGUAGAGACAGGGUUUCACCGUGUUAGCCAGGAUGGUCUCAAUCUCCUGACCUCAUGAUCUGCCUGCCUUGACCUCCCAAAGUGCUGGGGUUACAGGCGUGAGCCAAGAAAACAGAACUUUUAAAUGAUGUUUACAUGUCUAGCUUCAAAAAAUGCCAUGCAGGUUGUCGGUUUCCCACUUCCAGGGUAACUGGAUGGAAUUUCUGCCUUCAUGGUGGUUCAAGCCUGAAGUGCCUUGAGACCAGAAGUAAAGAGUUCCUUCCUCCUGCAGCACUGCUAGGUUUCCUGGAGGAGACGGUCUGUAGGUGGGGUUCCUAAAGGUGGAGAGAAGAGGAAGUUACUUCCUAAAGAGAAGGAAGAUAGGGGGUAACUUCAGUGUGGCUUUUGCAGAGUUGUUCAUGACAGGAAUCCUAUCAGGCCCUGAAGUUUCCAUCAGCACAGCCCCCAACCCUCACUGUCCCACACCCUUAGCUUCCUGGUUCUAGUCUCAAGGGAUUCUGCUCACUUCUGUCCUCGCUUUUUUUCUCCCUGGGAACCAAGUAACAGCUGAAGAAGUCCCAGGAGUCCUCCCAUGUCCUCUCAGCAACCCAGGCUGGAGCCUACUCCUUGGUGUUGGCAAAGGAAACCGUCUUUGAAGGGCAACUGUUUGAAAAUGCUGCAGAAACAUGAGAAAUGUUCAUGAAGUGACCCUGUGGAGGCUUCCGGUCACAGGAUCAUGUGAGCGCCACGAUCACCCCAGGGGUGGAGCAGAUGCUAAGUGUUCACCACACCCAAUUCUCUUCCUGGACACACAGGAAGAUGACAUUUCCAGUGACAUGCCCCACCUCUAGGCCCUAGUCUUUUUUUUAUUUAAAGGUCUGAGUCUUGUUCUGUCACCCAGGCUGGAGUGCAGUGCUGUGAUCAUGACUCACUGCAGCCUCAACCUCCUGUGCUCAAACAAUCCUCCCACCUCAGCCUCCCUAAUAGCUGAUGUCAUAUAGGCAUGAGCCAGUGUGCCUGGCUCAGGCCCUACCCUUAAAAGCAUCCCACCUGAUUCACCAGCCCCCUUCUCUCUCUCAGUAAACUUGGAAACCACGCAUUCCAGAUGGUAUAAUUUACAGCAUGAUGGAAAAAGCCAGCUCUCCAUGGGAAGCUGGCCAGUCUUCAUUGGAGUACAUUUUUAUUGCAUGAAGCCAAUGAGACUUGAUAUUGUUUAACUCUGUGGUUUCCAAAGUGCGGUCCUUUUGAAGUAUCCAUAAAGUCUACACUAGGUUCACGGUAAUAUUAAGAUGUUAUUUGUCAGCUGGGCACGGUGGCUCACGCCUAUAAUCUCAGCACUUUGGGAGGCCAAGGCAAAUGGAUAAUGAGGUCAGGAGUUUCAGACCAGCCUGGCCAACAUGGUGAAACCCAGUCUCUACUAAAAAUACAAAAAUUACCUGGGUGUGGUGAUGCAUGCCUGUAAUCCCAGCUACUCAGGAGGAGGCUGAGGCAGGAGAAUUGCUUGAAUCCGGGAGGCAGAGAUUGCAGUGAGCUGAAAUCUCACCACUGCACUCCAGCCUGGGUGAUGGAGCAAGACACUGUCUCAAAAAAAAAAAAAAAGAUAUUAUUUGUCUUUCAUGAGUGUACAGUGGGAUUUUCCAGAGGCUACAUGACAUGUGUUUUUUUAUUUUGUUUUUUAUACUGACAGAGGGGUCUUGCUAUGUUGCCCAGACUGGUCUUCCAACUCCUGGCCUCAAGUGAUCCUCCCGCCUUCACCUCCCAAAGUGCUGGGAUUAUAGGUGUGAGCCACUGCGCCUGGCUGUUUGUGACAUGUGAUGUUGAAACAGGUUGAGUAUAGAAGCAGAUAUGGGAAUUAAACCAGAAUAUUAAACCAGACAUUGAAGAGAUUUGCAAAAAAUACAAAACAAUACCACUGUUUUCACUUUCUUUUUGGUUUGGAAAAAUGUAGUUAUUUUUCAUUAAAAGUAUGUUGUGUUGGCUGGGCACAGUGGCUCAUGCCUGUAAUCUCAACGCUGGGAGACUGAGGUGGGAGGAUCACUUGAGAUCAGGAGUUCGAGACCAGCCUGACCAACAUAAUGAAACCCCAUCUCUACUAACAAUAUAAAAAUUAGCUGGGCUGGCUGAGCGCGGUGGCUCACGCCUGUAAUCCCAGCACUUUGGGAGGCCAAGGCGGGCGGAUCAUGAGGUCAGGAGAUCGAGACCAUCCUGGCUAACAUGGUGAAACCCCAUCUCUACUAAAAAUACAAAAAAUUAGCUGGGCGAGGUGGCGGGCGCCUGUAGUCCCAGCUGCUCAGGAGGCUGAGGCAGGAGAAUGGCGUGAACCCAGCGGGCAGAGCCUGCAGUGAGCAGAGAUCGCGCCACUGCACUCCAGCCUGGGCGACAGCAAGACUCCGUCUCAAAAAAAAAAAAAAAAAAUAACUGGGCUUGGUGGCAUGCGCCUAUAAUCCCAGCUACUUGAGAGGCUGAAGCAGAAGAAUUGCUUGCACCUGGGAGGGGCAGGUUGCAGUGAGCCAAGAUCGCACCACUGCACUCCAGCCUGGGCAACAGAGCAAGACACCUUCACCUUCUCAAAAAAAAAAAAAGUUGUGUUAACAUGUAAUGGUUUCAUGAUAUCAUUUUAAAUAAA